rnacentral:rRNA from 1 species
UACGUAGGGACCGAGCGUUGUCCGGAAUCAUUGGGCGUAAAGAGCGUGUAGGCGGCCACUUAAGUCCUGCGUGAAAUCCUGCGGCUCAACCGCAGGCGGUCGUGGGAAACUGGGUGGCUAGAGUGCGGGAGAGGAGAGUGGAAUUCCCGGUGUAGCGGUGGAAUGCGCAGAUAUCAGGAGGAACACCUGUGGCGAAGGCGGCCAUCUGGACAGUCACUGACACUGAGACGCGAAAGCGUGGGUAGCAAACAGG